AGCGAACGCUAGCGGCGGGCCUAACACAUGCAAGUCGAGCGGGGGAGCAAUCCCCAGCGGCGGACGGGUGAGUAACACGUAGGUUAUGUGCCCCUUGGUGGGGAAUAACCGUGGGAAACCAUGGCUAAUUCCGCAUAUCGAGCGAAAUCUUGAAAGCCUUCGGGCGCCAAAAGGAGCAACCUGCGGCCCAUUAGCUUGUUGGUAGGGUAACGGCCUACCAAGGCGAUGAUGGGUAGCUGGUCUGAGAGGAUGAUCAGCCACACUGGAACUGAGACACGGUCCAGACUCCUACGGGAGGCAGCAGCGGGGAAUAUUGCGCAAUGGGCGAAAGCCUGACGCAGCCACGCCGCGUGAGUGAUGAAGGCCUUCGGUC
rnacentral:rRNA from 1 species